AGAGUUUGAUCAUGGCUCAGAUUGAACGCUGGCGGCAGGCCUAACACAUGCAAGUCGAACGGUAACAGGAAGCAGCUUGGCUGCUUUGCUGACGAGUGGCGGACGGGUGAGUAAUGUCUGGGAAACUGCCUGAUGGAGGGGGAUAACUACUGGAAACGGUGGCUAAUACCGCAUAACGUCGCAAGACCAAAGAGGGGGACCUUCGGGCCUCUUGCCAUCAGAUGUGCCCAGAUGGGAUUAGCUUGUUGGUGAGGUAACGGCUCACCAAGGCGACGAUCCCUAGCUGGUCUGAGAGGAUGACCAGCCACACUGGAACUGAGACACGGUCCAGACUCCUACGGGAGGCAGCAGUGGGGAAUAUUGCACAAUGGGCGCAAGCCUGAUGCAGCCAUGCCGCGUGUAUGAAGAAGGCCUUCGGGUUGUAAAGUACUUUCAGCGGGGAGGAAGGUGUUGUGGUUAAUAACCGCAGCAAUUGACGUUACCCGCAGAAGAAGCACCGGCUAACUCCGUGCCAGCAGCCGCGGUAAUACGGAGGGUGCAAGCGUUAAUCGGAAUUACUGGGCGUAAAGCGCACGCAGGCGGUCUGUCAAGUCGGAUGUGAAAUCCCCGGGCUCAACCUGGGAACUGCAUUCGAAACUGGCAGGCUUGAGUCUUGUAGAGGGGGGUAGAAUUCCAGGUGUAGCGGUGAAAUGCGUAGAGAUCUGGAGGAAUACCGGUGGCGAAGGCGGCCCCCUGGACAAAGACUGACGCUCAGGUGCGAAAGCGUGGGGAGCAAACAGGAUUAGAUACCCUGGUAGUCCACGCCGUAAACGAUGUCUACUUGGAGGUUGUGCCCUUGAGGCGUGGCUUCCGGAGCUAACGCGUUAAGUAGACCGCCUGGGGAGUACGGCCGCAAGGUUAAAACUCAAAUGAAUUGACGGGGGCCCGCACAAGCGGUGGAGCAUGUGGUUUAAUUCGAUGCAACGCGAAGAACCUUACCUGGUCUUGACAUCCACAGAACUUUCCAGAGAUGGAUUGGUGCCUUCGGGAACUGUGAGACAGGUGCUGCAUGGCUGUCGUCAGCUCGUGUUGUGAAAUGUUGGGUUAAGUCCCGCAACGAGCGCAACCCUUAUCCUUUGUUGCCAGCGGUCCGGCCGGGAACUCAAAGGAGACUGCCAGUGAUAAACUGGAGGAAGGUGGGGAUGACGUCAAGUCAUCAUGGCCCUUACGACCAGGGCUACACACGUGCUACAAUGGCGCAUACAAAGAGAAGCGACCUCGCGAGAGUAAGCGGACCUCAUAAAGUGCGUCGUAGUCCGGAUUGGAGUCUGCAACUCGACUCCAUGAAGUCGGAAUCGCUAGUAAUCGUGGAUCAGAAUGCCACGGUGAAUACGUUCCCGGGCCUUGUACACACCGCCCGUCACACCAUGGGAGUGGGUUGCAAAAGAAGUAGGUAGCUUAACCUUCGGGAGGGCGCUUACCACUUUGUGAUUCAUGACUGGGGUGAAGUCGUAACAAGGUAACCGUAGGGGAACCUGCGGUUGGAUCACCU
rnacentral:rRNA from 1 species